AAAACUGAUAAUCCAAUGGGUGGAAUGAUGGAGUAACGUCCUGAAACGCCCGCCUGAUACUCCGAUUGGCGUCACUGUAUGCAAUCACAGUGAGGUCAAAGGCUCGGUGAAGUCGGCAGAGAGUGGCCGUAGAUGGGCAAAACCAUACGAAAGCUGUCCAGAGGUGGAUGGUGUCACCUAUAUGCCGGGGUUCUACAAA
rnacentral:ncRNA from 1 species